ensembl:lncRNA LINC00841 long intergenic non-protein coding RNA 841
GCAACGCACAUGUGCCCCUGCAGGGUGGCAUAGACGGCGAGCCCAGGGAGGCCACUGACAUGCAUUCAAGAGAAAAGAAAAGAAGCCAGGCUUUGGUCAGUUGUGAAUAUACCAUCUCCUGACUCCCAAGCAUUGGUUCAUCAUCCAGCUGGCAAUUGUUGAGCCUCAGCCAAUGGUGGAACCAAAAUCUAGUAUCUCUGGAGUAAUUUCCAUUUCCAACAGAAGGAGAGUGACUUUCACUGACUCUUACUCUCCAUUUGGAUUUCAGGCAUAAGUGCUUCAUGGUGGAGUGAGAAUGGCUUGCCCUGGAAGGGUCAUGUUUUAGAAGGAGUGAUCUUCAUUGUGAAGUCUAAACUGUUCUGGAAAUAUAAGCUUUGAAACCCAGUACUGAAUUCUCACAGGAAGUCUCAGACGAAGACACUGCUAACUCCACUUUCAGAGAGAAACACUGAGGCUCAGAGCUAAACUAACUCGCCUCAGAGCCCACAUCCUGGACUUGAGCCUCAGGGUGUUGCAUGCCAAAGCCUGUCCUCUUCACCCCAGCUUCCUGGGCAUUGGAGCGGAUCCAUAGUGUUAGAUAUGCAGUGGGAAUGGCCCCCAUUCCAAGCCACUUCCUGACCUGAUGGCAGCACCCUGCUAGUCCUCACAUGGAGCCCUGGAGAAGCCGGGUUCCUUAACCCAGAUUUGAAUCAAUAGCCUCACACCUGGUAUGCACAUCCAGGCCAAGUGUGGCUGAAUGGGGAGCAUCUGUUCUGGAGACGGCCACCCUCAUGGGCUCCUCUGCUUCCUGUCCCUUCGGGCACUGAUUUAUGGCACACAGCAGGGAAGGGCCUGAGCUUGAGCCCUGACCAUCGUUAUCAUCACCAUCUUCAUUCCAGUGCAGUGAAGAACAUUCUGAAGGUAGAGAUGAAGGUCUUCUUUCUGAAUGAAGCUCCUUGCAUGAUUCAGGGAUCUUCCUCUUGAAGGCACCAAUCAUUUUGACUUUAAUGCAUGCACUCUGACUUACUUGUGGUGAUCUCUCCUGGAAAUACAUGGAAAAAUGAAAAAUAGGCUAACUGGGGAGAUUUCUUAAAUACCAGUUUGUAUGGCUGUGUUAACCUGAAUGAUUAAAUAUAGGAUUGUUUUUUAAGUUAC